GAUGAAGAACGCAGCGAAAUGCGACAAGUAAUGUGAAUUGCAGAAUUCCGUGAAUCAUCGAAUCUUUGAACGCACAUUGCGCCCUCUGGUAUUCUGGAGGGCAUGCCUGUCCGAGCGUCAUUGCUAUACCUCAAGCCCGGCUUGUGUGAUGGACUCACUGUCUUAUUGGACAGUAGCCCCAAAGGCAGUGGCAGGGUCGCAGUCCGGUCUUUUAAAUGCGUAUGGGGCAUUGUCACCCGCUCUUGUAGGCCCGGCCGGCGCUUGCCGACACAUCAAUCUUUUUUCCAGGUUGACCUCGGAUCAGGUAGGGAUACCCGCUGAACUUAAGCAUAUCAAUAAGCGGAGGA
rnacentral:misc_RNA from 1 species